AUGAAACCAAAGGUCUCAGCAUGCCCUGGGGCUGGGGGUGUUACCUAGUGAUCCUCUCUUCCCCAACAUGGGUGUGAGGUACCCUGCCAAUACAUUUGCACCAUUUCUCCAAGUCAGCAUUUCCCUUUCAUACAGUCUCUUUGCAGCAGAAUCCAUAGUUGGACUGUAGUUUACCUUCCUGGGAAACUCGUUAUCUUCAUUUGAAUUAACAUUUCCAUACAGGAUUAACUGGGUAGAAGCACGAACUAGGCAGGCCUUCAGAAAGUUCUUGUUGCCAUGGCUGCCUGGUACAAGAAACUACCUUGAUGUCAAAUCUUAAAAGGAUGGAGACCUUUGGUUGUAUGAGGCAGUGUUACUAUGUUCCAGCUUCACAUGAUCCCCAACCUGUGUAUUCCAUUUCCAUCUGAGUGGCUUUCAACCUUGAAGAUUGACAGGGAACCCAGGGUUCUGCCUAUGUCUGUUGACAUGAGAAGAAUUCAAUUUCUUUGCCCAAGGUUCCCCUCUGCCUGUUCCUCCACAUUCGGACAUCUUCCAUCGUACCAGUGUUUAGAACCAAAGCAUGAAGGACUAGUGCCAGCAAGAUAGUCAGCAGAAAUAUUAUCUCUAGAUCCUGGCAGAUGAGCCCAGAAAGGUAGUCCCAGAGAAACCAGACUGGCCCCGGUAGAUAUCAGGCAGCCAUCCCAAUAAGCUUUGACUUGUCCUUGGAAUGGGGAGCCUUGAUAGGAGAUCCUGGGGUAGCUGAGCCUGUUGUUCCCCUGCUCUCAAGAUCUUCCUGCCUGGAGGGCUGAGUAUGCCACUGGCUUGCUGGUAGGAAAUAGAAGGUGACUUUAAUAGGGGCCAGCAGGCAAGUGGCUUGUAUCUGGAAAGCUUUGCCUAGCAGUCCAGCUGUGGCCAGAGGCUGGUUACAAAUUUGAACUCCCUGACCCCAUCUGCAACUCUGCCUCUGUUCUCUUAUAUUCUGUUUGGUUUCCCUUUAGUUUCCUAGUAAAUGUUCCUUUUAAAAAAUUCCAACCUUGUUUCAUUUAACUUGGGGGGAAGGGGAGUGUCCAUUGUCUUUUCCAGGAUAGAGAAGGAAAUCAAAGUAUCAUCUUGGAAAAAAAAAAAAAUGGUAAUGUCAGUGGAAAGGGAUCCACCCUGGUUAGAUCUUCGGAACAGACCUUCAGAAAAGCUGGUUCCAAGAGAUGAGGAGAAACCAAUUGUCUCCCUCUGCCACCCGGCCCUGAUUCUGAGCCCAUUCCUCUUCCUGCCUUUGUCUUCAAGGAGACCUGUCUUGGAUGCCUGUUGCUGCAAAAGCGUCAUUGCAGCCAGUGAACUGGGCACAUUUCGCAGGCAAUGUGAUAUCCAGGAAGUACACUGGUGCCUGACGAGAGGAGAAAUAAUGGAGGGGAGGGAAAGGAGUAUUUCUACAGUGUGGAUAUUUUCAAAAUGCUCCAACAGUCAUGACUCUAAAUUGAAUUUAGAUUUAGCCCUCAUGGCCAUCAGUGGAACUACAUUUCAUAUGAAGAGAAGAAAGGCAUACUCUCAUACUUACGUCAACGAGACUGACAAAGAUAGAUAUGGGAAAUGUCUGGUUAUCUUCAUGGCCACCCUGUCCUCCGGUGGUGGGUGCUCCAAGUAUCUACUGCUGCACAGCAAAGCACUUCAAAGCUUAGUGGUUCAAAUAACAAGUCAUUAUCUUCCAUGA
rnacentral:lncRNA from 1 species